CUGAGCGACGCUGGAACAGCCUCUCCUCCUCUCUGAGCCCCACGUGGCCAGCUCUGCUACAGGCUGAGCUAGCCGUGAGGACCACGCAGAAUUCUCUAGAUCAAAUCACAGUGUCAUGAAAUGGCCAAAUCAAUGCGGUUCAGCUUGGCAUGGGCUUGGCUGUCAGCAACAGAGACAGGACGAUUCCUGAUCUCAAAGGACCAAAGUCUGUGCAGGCUUGCAAAAGAAACAAGUUUUAUUAUCUGCAGACAGAGGCAGCUUCGUUUUCAACUUUGCGCGCUGAAAGCAUUUCAGAUUGCCAGAACGUUGUUCAGACAGCUCGGAGGGUCCCGAAUCCCAGCCCGCGACAGCUUCCCCGGUGUCAACGUUUCUGGAAACUAGGAGGUAAGCGUUGGUAACACUGCCAACAGAACCGCAGGUCCCGUCUGGGUUUCCCACUUGUCCGCUCAUGCCCGGCGGCCCAAGACUCCCCUGCCUGUCUUCCACGGGCAGCAGGUCGAGGGGGCGCACACAGCCCAGAUCAAGGUCUGCAGGGGCUGGGACUGGGCCAAAGACUCCUCUUGGUGGGAAGAGGAGAAUUUUGAUCCACUCCCAUCACACGAGUGACCACCAAAUGGAAAGGAUGUUAUCCCUGAGCAGCCUUGGUUGCUCAGUCAAUGGACGACUGACUCUGAAAGCAGGUUUAAGAAGUCCUUACAAGGGUGAGUGUUUUGACCCCGCUCUCCACGCUCUAUCGUUCUUCUCUCUUCUAACAUUGUAUCUGCGUUUCCGCUCAUGAACAGAAUUUUACAUGGACAAUUACCACUAAGCAGCCACUCACCCCUUUACUGUUGGAGACUCAAUAGGCGCUGAACAAAGGGUUCUGCAGGCUGUCUUUUCUGACAAUACUCGGAGGAUAUUGGAACUGAAGCCCUUGCACCGGUUUAUUAUCAAAUAGUGGAGUAGACAAGAAUCAUGUGACCCAGAUUCUGGGAUAAAAGGGGUCCCAUAAGCUAGAUAACAUCACAUCACAAAAUUAAGAGUUAGAAAAAGAAAACAUUAGGUCAUCUCUGCUGCAUUCAGCUGCUUCCUGCUCACUUGGGAACCUGAACGAGUUUAUUUUUAUUCCGCGGUGCUUCUGCUUUCUUAAAAAUGUGUCGUGAGGCAAAUCAUGUAUUGCAUCUCUGGCAGUUUAUCAUAUAAUCACUUUCCAGAAUUAAAUUCUCUGUCUAGCUGACUUUGUGUCUAUGAAAUAUCUGUGCUUCGCACCGAGUCUAGGGCGUACAGAGGCUGGUUUCUGUUGGCAAUUCUAUCCACGUAGCAAUCCCCCCCUGAGACUCUCAGGUUUCCUAGGACGAGGUCAGGGAGAGGUCAGAGCAUCUCCACUGUCCGAGGCUACAGCUCAGAGCCGCAGGGGAGCAUGCCCCCAC